CUUUAAUAGUCCUGUAUUAGCGGACACACACAGACCUCUGCAGCGCAGGCAAUCCCGCUAUGCUUCUUUGGAAAUCCCAGCAGCUCCCUCUUUCUGACACUCUCCGGGGUGUUGUUGGGUCAAAGACGUGACAACAGUCUUCUGCCUCCACGGUAAAUGCUCCAGACAAAGCCCUGGACCUAUCAGGUGGCGACACGCAUCUCUGCGUGCCUGGCAGAUACCUCAGCUUUGAUGUCAGCCCACCACCUUAAGCUCAACCUCGACAAGACGGAGCUGCUCUUCCUCUUGGGGAAGACCUGCCCGCUCCAAGAUCUCUUCAUCACAGUCGACAGCUCCACAGUGUCAACCACCCAGAGUGCAAAGAACCUUGGCGUGACUAGGAUCUGCAAACAUCGAAACAGUGACUCACUCCUGCAGGUUCAUCCGCAGAGGACGACCUUUCCUCACACAGAAGCAGCGCGGGUCCAAAUCCAGGCACUCGUCAUAUCAGGUCUUGCAACUUACCCAGAAUGCCGAAGCCCGCCUGGUGUUCAACCUUCCCGAGUUCUCCCAUGUCACCCCACUCUCCACUGGCUUCCAGUCGAAGCUCGCAUCCACUACAAUACCAUGGUGCUUGCCUAUGGAGCAGCAAGGAGAACUGCCCCUCCCGAACUUCAGGUUGUGCUCAAACCCUACAUCCCAACCUGAACACUCAGUUCUGCCACCUCUUGUCUCCCUGCGGGAGGUCAGCUCCCGCUCAGCCCAGUAAAAGCUCUUCUCUGUCCUGGCACCCUAAUGGUGUAACCAGCUUCCCCCUGAUGCUACGACAGAAGAGUCCCCAUCCAUUAUCCAAAAAUGUCUGAAAUACUACCUCGUCAAAGAGUACCUUAAAUAAGACAUCGCAGUCUUAUCCCCCCCCUCUCGUCCCCAAAAUUAAAUAAACCUUGCAUUUUCUACUAGCACUGCUGAUAACUUCUUUAUUUAGGAAAAAUGUACUUACUAUGACUGUGAUAUGUGGUUCUUACCUAGUUAUCUUAAGAUGGAUGCACUAACUGUAAGUCGCUCUGGAUAAUUGUUUUCUAAAUUACUAAAAUGUCAAUCUUUCAGGGAUUUUUUUUUGUAUUGCUUGUUAAACAAAAUCGCUUACUCUAAAAAUAAUAUUUCCCUUUUCUUUUUUUGAGCAUCCAAUAUGUAUUGUUCAUAUUAUACAGUAUUUUUUUAUCAAGGAUGCCAAUAAUUAUGGGUCAGACUGUAUAUUAAUAUGUAUAUGUGAAUAGUGUGUAAAUAUUAAUGUAUAAUUGUAACACAUAUUCACACACAGAAAUCAUAAAACAGUG